rnacentral:rRNA from 1 species
UGGGGAAUAUUGCACAAUGGGCGCAAGCCUGAUGCAGCCAUGCCGCGUGUAUGAAGAAGGCCUUCGGGUUGUAAAGUACUUUCAGCGGGGAGGAAGGGAGUAAAGUUAAUACCUUUGCUCAUUGACGUUACCCGCAGAAGAAGCACCGGCUAACUCCGUGCCAGCAGCCGCGGUAAUACGGAGGGUGCAAGCGUUAAUCGGAAUUACUGGGCGUAAAGCGCACGCAGGCGGUUUGUUAAGUCAGAUGUGAAAUCCUCGGGCUCAACCUGGGAACUGCAUCUGAUACUGGCAAGCUUGAGUCUCGUAGAGGGGGGUAGAAUUCCAGGUGUAGCGGUGAAAUGCGCAGAGAUCUGGAGGAAUACCGGUGGCGAAGGCGGCCCCCUGGACGAAGACUGACGCUCAGGUGCGAAAGCGUGGGGAGCAAACAGG